rnacentral:rRNA from 1 species
UCUUUGGAGAGUUUGAUCCUGGCUCAGAACGAACGCUGGCGGCGUGCCUAACACAUGCAAGUCGAACGGUAACAGGUCUUCGGAUGCUGACGAGUGGCGCACGGGUGAGUAACGCGUGGAUAUCUGCCUAUUAGUGGGGGACAACUUGUGGAAACGCAAGCUAAUACCGCAUAAUCCCUACGGGGGAAAGCAGGGGACCUUCGGGCCUUGUGCUGAUAGAUGAGUCCGCGUCUGAUUAGCUAGUUGGUAGGGUAAAGGCCUACCAAGGCGAUGAUCAGUAUCUGGUUUGAGAGGAUGAUCAGACACACUGGAACUGAGACACGGUCCAGACUUCUACGGAAGGCAGCAGUGGGGAAUAUUGCACAAUGGGCGCAAGCCUGAUGCAGCGACGCCGCGUGUGGGAAGAAGGCUUUCGGGUUGUAAACCACUUUCAAUUGGGAAGAAGAGAUGAGCGUUAAUAACGUUCUGAUUUGACGGUACCUUUAGAAGAAGCACCGGCUAAUUUCGUGCCAGCAGCCGCGGUAAUACGAAAGGUGCAAGCGUUGUUCGGAUUUACUGGGCG